rnacentral:rRNA from 1 species
CGUAGGUGGCAAGCGUUGUCCGGAUUUACUGGGCGUAAAGAGCGCGCAGGCGGCCGAGUAAGUCGAAUGUGAAAGCCCCCGGCUCAACUGGGGAAGGUCAUUCGAUACUGUUCGGCUUGAAGAUAGGAGAGGGAAGCGGAAUUUCAGGUGUAGUGGUGAAAUGCGUAGAUAUCUGAAGGAACACCAGUGGCGAAGGCGGCUUUCUGGCCUAUUCUUGACGCUGAGGCGCGAAAGCUAGGGGAGCGAACGGGAUU